rnacentral:rRNA from 1 species
AGUGAACGCUGGCGGCGUGCUUAACACAUGCAAGUCGAACGAGAACGGAUUAUAGCUUGCUAUAAUUGUCAGCUAAGUGGCGCACGGGUGAGUAAUGUAUAGGUAAUAUGCCUCUUACUAAGGGAUAACAAAUGGAAACGUUUGCUAAUACCUUAUACUCCUUAUUAACAUAAGUUAAUAAGGGAAAGAUUUAUUGGUAAGAGAUUAGCCUGUAUUGUAUCAGUUAGUUGGUGGGGUAAUGGCUUACCAAGACUAUGACACAUAACUGGUUUGAGAGGAUGAUCAGUCACACUGGAACUGAGACACGGUCCAGACUCCUACGGGAGGCAGCAGUGGGGAAUAUUGCACAAUGGACGGAAGUCUGAUGCAGCAACGCCGCGUGGAGGAUGACACAUUUCGGUGGGUAAACUCCUUUUAUAUGAGAAGAUAAUGACGGUAUUAUAUGAAUAAGCACCGGCUAACUCCGUGCCAGCAGCCGCCGUAACAC